rnacentral:rRNA from 1 species
UACGUAGGGUGCAAGCGUUAAUCGGAAUUACUGGGCGUAAAGCGUGCGCAGGCGGCUUUGCAAGACAGAUGUGAAAUCCCCGGGCUUAACCUGGGAACUGCAUUUGUGACUGCAUGGCUGGAGUGCGGCAGAGGGGGGAUGGAAUUCCGCGUGUAGCAGUGAAAUGCGUAGAGAUGUGGAGGAAUACCGAUGGCGAAGGCAGCCCCCUGGGAUAACACUGACGCUCAUGCACGAAAGCGUGGGGAGCAAACAGG